rnacentral:rRNA from 1 species
UACGUAGGGGGCGAGCGUUGCCCGGAAUCAUUGGGCGUAAAGCGCGUGUAGGCGGCUCGAUAAGUCCGGUGUGAAACCUUGGGGCUCAACCCCAAGCCUGCACUGGAUACUGCCGAGCUAGAGUUCGGGAGGGGAGAGCGGAAUUCCUAGUGUAGCGGUGAAAUGCGCAGAUAUUAGGAAGAACACCGGUGGCGAAGGCGGCUCUCUGGAACGGUACUGACGCUGAGGCGCGAAAGCGUGGGGAGCGAACAGG